CCUUAAAUCAUGUUGUGGUGAGUAACAGGCUAAGGAUCCCUGGAGUUUGUUUGUUUUUUCCAUCCCUGUGGUGGUCUCCGUGGUCCUCUCAAUAUCAUGGUCUCCAACUGUGUCGUGACCAGGAUGUCCCCAGCAUGUAAAAAGUUGCAGGAAGAGGACAGGAGUGGGCUGGGGGGCCUCCAUCAGGGUGAAAGGCUAGGGAGGACCUGCUGGUGGAGGGAGUGUCUGGGAGAAGCGUCUGAGCACUCUUCUUCAGGGGCUGCAGCUUCUCAGGGGCUGAAAACAACAGAAGGAACCGUGUUGGUUCUUGCAGGAGCCAAGCUGAGCCCACACCCUGAGAAACCAGAACUAAAGGAGCAGAUGGAAGAGAGAAAGUCUGCACAAGUGGAGGAAGAAAAUCCCCCAGAAUGGAUAAGGUCAUGGUAGACUAGGUGGAAACCAAAAUUGGGGAGGAAAAGUUGGAUAAGAAACUGUAGGGUGGGCUGGGAUUUAGCUCAGUGGCACCACGCCUGCCUUGCAAGUGCAAGGUCCUGAGUUUGAUCUGCAGUGUCAAAAAAAACAAGAAGAAAGAAACUGCAGGGAAGCUGAGGAUGGCGCAUGUCCUCCAGCCUUCCAGGCACAGCCUGCACCAAGCAGUGCGGUCAGGAGGGAAAGGGAUUCCACCGUGGAUUCAUGCGCCAGGUCAAGGAGCUCCCCUGGGUGGACUCAGAGCAGGAUUAUGUGGCCUGGAAGUGCCCAGUCCGAGGGAGGGAAGAGAGCACUGUGAGGGCCCGGCCCAGGCCCCAGGGACUAGAAUCUGGAGCCGCCCUCAUUGUAGGUGCCAGGCGAGUGUGAGGAGUGUGAGCAUGGGGGGAAUGCCUUGGCCAGAGAAGGUGGAGACCGCACCUUCAGCUGUUCUGCUGUGACUUAGGGAGGUGCAGGACGGGGGACUCCUGCCUCAGAACUAGUGAGAUUCUUCUGUCCUCCUCCACUUGCAACCAGUGAAGAUUUGGACACAGCAUCUCUCACAGACUUAGUAAUUGUUCAGGUUUUCUCACCCUGUGUUAAAACUUGGGAGUUUAGAUAACAGAAAGACGUUCUCACUUUCCCAAAGCUCUAGAGGGAGAACACAAGCAGUUUGAACACCAUGUGGCAUUUACCCUGCAGUAGGGGUGUGGCAGCACAGAAUGUGGUGGACAGGGCGGAGAUGCUGUGCUUCGGGACAGGAGAGCAGCAGAGGAGGCCCUGAGCACAGUCCCAUUUCACCAGAGCUUGCAGGUGGGCAUCAGCAGGCGGGGCUGUGUGGGCAGGCUGCUCUCUCAGGUGGUGACGGUUUCCUCUGGAGAAGGAGCCUGUGUGUGACAGGACACCCAGGACAUGUGGGCAGAAAUACCUUUGCAGUGAUGAGAUGUUUGCAAUCACGUCAGUGCUGUCAUUGAGCAAGCACUGUUCAGAUCCUUCUCCAUGCUGGGCCCUAAGCUGGAAACUGUGCAGACAGAGCCAAAGAAACUGUCAUCCCAGCAUCCCCAGAGCUCUCAGACACGAAAAGCAGCAAGUGAUGGGAAGGACUCGGACAAAGAAGCCGCUGCUGGGUGGGACUGCAUCGGUGUUUGUGUUAAUUCUCCAUCUGGCUUCUCCCGCAGCUGCCACACCUGUCUGAAGGUAAUGACUGUGACCUCUCAAAAUAUCACCACCUCCUUGGCUCCAGGUUGGCUGAAGGCCACUCACAUUGCUCAGGUCUGAGGAUGCAGGUGACCUCAUCAGUGUCCCCUGACCGUGUCCCUGUCAGCUGCAGAAACCAAGAGGCAAGGUCAGUAAAACUUACAGGUUUCUCCCUGCCAUGUUACCCUCAUGUUCUUGGCUCUGUCAGGUAAGAGCUUUUAAACUUCACUCUUCUGUCUGCAUGAAGGCAAAUUACAUACUGGUCAUAUUCCUCAAACUGUAAUACUUGUUUUAUCCUCAAAUUUGAAAUAAAAUAGGGUAAAAAAUGAAGCCCUUCAUAUAGGGGUGUGUGAGACUAAAAUUCAGGUUUUACGAUGCUCAAGUGGUUGAAGAACAUGUUUUUAUUCUGCUAAAACAAGAAUGAGCUAAUACCCCUGCUGUGCUCCUCUUGUUGGCCUUAUCAGAUAUAAAAGCUCUACUGAGCUCCAGAGCUUAGAUCUGCAGCAGUUUAGCUCAUGCAGUGCAUUUGCUGCCCUGUGCUUAAAACACUGCUGGUUACACAGGGGACGCAGAGUUGGGCACGGCAGCCCUUAGAGGAGCUUCGCGUAUUUGCACCAGGGUCACUAAGGACUGUCAGUACCUUCUGUGACAACAUCUCUCGUGGACAGUUCUGAGCCCACUCUGGAGAAAGGGAAGAGGACAGUGACGGGGCACAGCCCUGGGCUCUCUGCCUCCCAAAGAUUUAGGAUGAAAGGACCCUGGGGAAUCUCUUCGGGGAGUGUCCUACAGGUGAGGGUUCACACACACUUCGCAUGGCUCCCAUCCCUGGUUUCCUUUCACAGAUAAUCGUCAGAUUUAGCAACAUCAGGAGGAGCCAGCCAGACAUGGACUGCAGAGCCUCAGUUCAAGAUGCUGCUGAGAAAGUGAAGCAGGCAGGAGUCAGUGCCGGAGAGGGGUCCAUGUCGGUGUCGGGAGAGCGCAUUGGUGGCCUUCAGCAGUGGUGGUGAAUCCUGGAGAGACGUCUGUCCCCAGGAGUCCCCGAUGACAGCUCCAGAUGCCAGAUGACUAAUAGAACCACUCCCUUGUGUUGACCUCACAGGAAGUCCUUGGAUGUACAUCUACUGCUACCGAGGUCACCAUGGCAGUACCACGCAGCCCCAGUCCAGGGGCUGAAGUGAAUGUUGUGGAGUUCAAGGAGUAUAAGUGCUCUUGGGUGGGAGACAAUGAACUGCAAUUUGAAGACCGCAGAUCAAGUUCCGUUAGACCUGAAGCAGCUCUUGGCUCCCUGGACACCAAAGUGCAGAAACGUGAAAGGCAGAAGUUGGUAUCUUGCCCUCCAUCUGGAUGGAAAACUGGGGCUCAAAGCAUUUACCAGUGUCUCCCAGUUCACACCAGGAGUGGGGUGGGACCCAGAAAGUCACCUUGUAGCCUGGGUUGGGCUUGAACUUGCAGCAUUCUGCCUCCUUCAGCCUCCUGAGUGGCUAAGAUUACAGACUUGCAAAGACAAAUGUGCCCUUCAGCCCGGCCAGUGGCAGCACCCUGCUUCAGGGCAGCUGCGUGCGAGCCAGGAAGUCGGUGGUUGGCGGAAUGCACGGAGCAUCCCCAGGUGCCAGGCUGCAGGCAUGAUGUCGCCUGCCUGCCUGCCGUGUUGGAUCUUAACACCUAUGACUCUCAGGAGACCCGACUGCUCUGUCGCCACCUCCUGGCCGGGAGGAGUUGUCCUGUUCACAGCAGACGCCUGGGAGUGCAACCACAGGACUACCCACAGUGAGGGGUUCCAGGACGGUGACGGGAGUGAGGAGCCAGGUCUGCCUCAGCCCACCAGCCCUGAGGAGCAGCUUCCGGGUAAGAACCAACUUAGGAUCCCCUUCUGGUGGCCACAGUGCAGGACAGAUACCACCUGUGACCCUCAGCCUCUCAUGCUGUCCCUGGGGUAGGAAUGUGGGCUGUGGCUGAGGAAUGGGAAGACCCAGGUCCCCAAACUGCUCCCAGAGCUGCUGUCUCCUGAAAUCCCACCAUCACUCACUCUGCUGGGGCUUUAUCAUUCCUGUGUUCCCGUCCUCCAGCUGACCCG
ensembl:lncRNA